GAUGAAGAACGUAGCGAAAUGCGAUAAGUAAUGUGAAUUGCAGAAUUCAGUGAAUCAUCGAAUCUUUGAACGCACAUUGCGCCCGCUAGUAUUCUGGCGGGCAUGCCUGUCCGAGCGUCAUUUCAACCCUCAGGCCCCCGGGCUUGGUGUUGGGGAUCGGCGAGCCUCCGCGCCCGCCGUCCCCUAAAUCUAGUGGCGGUCUCGCUGUAGCUUCCUCUGCGUAGUAGCACACCUCGCACUGGGAAACAGCGCGGCCACGCCGUUAAACCCCCAACUUCUGAACGUUUGACCUCGGAUCAGGUAGGAAUACCCGCUGAACUUAAGCAUAUCAAUAAGCGGAGGA
rnacentral:misc_RNA from 1 species